rnacentral:rRNA from 1 species
UACGGAGUGUGCAAGCGUUGCUCGGAAUUACUGGGCGUAAAGCGCGUGUAGGCGGACUGGUGUGUCGGAUGUGAAAUCCCCAGGCUCAACCUGGGAACUGCAUUCGAAACUGCCAGCCUUGAGUGGUGGAGAGGGAAGUGGAAUUCCUGGUGUAGAGGUGAAAUUCGUAGAUAUCAGGAGGAACACCGGUGGCGAAGGCGGCGACCUGGGUCGAGACUGACGCUGAGGCGCGAAAGCGUGGGGAGCAAACAGG